rnacentral:tRNA from 1 species
UCCCAUAUGGUCUAAUGGUCAGGAUUCCUGGUUUUCACUCAAGUAGUCUGGGUUCAACUCCCAGUGUGGGAA